UUAUUUGCCGAGGGGUGGCCAAGCGGCCUGAGAUCCAACUUUGGGAACCCUUAUAACCUGAUCCAGAUCAUACUGGCGUAGGAACAGGCCGCAUGUCCGCUA
rnacentral:ncRNA from 2 species